rnacentral:tRNA from 1 species
CAAUUGGUAGCUCAGUGUUCGAGUGCAUGCUUUGUGUGUCUGACGUCCUGGGUUCAAAUCCCAGCUGCUCCC